rnacentral:rRNA from 1 species
CCUACGGGUGGCAGCAGUGGGGAAUAUUGCACAAUGGGCGAAAGCCUGAUGCAGCCACGCCGCGUGAAGGAAGACGGUUUUCGGAUUGUAAUCUUCUGUUCUUAGUGAAGAAUCAUGACGGUCUCUAAGGGGCCAGCAACGGCUAACGAAGUGCGAGCAGCCGCGGUAAUACGGAGGAUGCGCGCUUUAGCCGGAUUUAUGGGGGUUAUAGGGUGCGCAGGCGGUGGAACAAGUCAGCGGUAAAAUCGCGGGGCUCAACCCCGCGCCGCCGUUGAAACUGUAUCCCUUGAGGGCGCGAAGGGUAGGAGGAAUGCGUGGUGUAGCGGUGAAAUGCAUAGAUAUCACGCAGAACUCCGAUCGCGAAGGCAGCCUACCGGCGCGCAACUGACGCUGAUGCACGAAGGCGUGGGUAUCGAACAGGAUUAGAUACCCUGGUAGUC